AUUGAACGCUGGCGGCAUGCCUUACACAUGCAAGUCGAACGGCAGCACGGGUGCUUGCACCUGGUGGCGAGUGGCGAACGGGUGAGUAAUACAUCGGAACAUGUCCUGUAGUGGGGGUAGCCCGGCCAAAGCCGGAUUAAUACCGCAUACGAUCUACGGAUGAAAGCGGGGGGCCUUCGGGCCUCGCGCUAUAGGGUUGGCCGAUGGCUGAUUAGCUAGUUGGUGGGGUAAAGGCCUACCAAGGCGACGAUCAGUAGCUGGUCUGAGAGGACGACCAGCCACACUGGGACUGAGACACGGCCCAGACUCCUACGGGAGGCAGCAGUGGGGAAUUUUGGACAAUGGGCGAAAGCCUGAUCCAGCAAUGCCGCGUGUGUGAAGAAGGCCUUCGGGUUGUAAAGCACUUUUGUCCGGAAAGAAAUCCUUGGCCCUAAUACGGUCGGGGGAUGACGGUACCGGAAGAAUAAGCACCGGCUAACUACGUG
rnacentral:rRNA from 1 species